rnacentral:piRNA from 1 species
UACGGAGUUCAGAAACGACCUGUGGC